GCCCUGGUGGAUCAAUGUAGAUCAUCCCUGAUUCUUGACGCCAUUCCACAGAAGUUUAGGGAAGAUGGAGGUUCAAAUCCUCCUCAGGGCG